rnacentral:rRNA from 1 species
AUUGAACGCUGGCGGAAUGCUUAACACAUGCAAGUCGAGCGAGCGGGGGACGGGUGAGUAAUGUCUGGGAAAAUGCCUGAAGGAGGGGGAUAACAACUGGAAACGGUAGCUAAAACCCCCUACCCUCAGAUACGCCCCGAUGGGAUUAGCUAGUCGGUGGGGUAACGGCUCACCUAGGCGCCGAUCCGUAGCUGGUCUGAGAGGAUGACCAGACACAUUGGAACUGAGAGACGGUCCAGACGCCUACGGGAGGCAGCAGUGGGGAAUUUUGCACAAUGGGGGAAAGCCUGAUGCAGACAUCCCGGGUGUGUGAAGAAGGCCUUCGGGUUGUAAAGCACUUUCGGCGGGGAGGCGUUACCCGCAGAAGAAGCACCGGCUAACUCCGUGCCAGCGGCCGCGGUAAUAC